rnacentral:rRNA from 1 species
AGAGUUUGAUCCUGGCUCAGGAUGAACGCUAGGGACAGGCCUACACCAUGCAAGUCGAGGGGUACAGGGGGCUUCGGGCCCGCUGACGACCGGCGCACGGGUGAGUAAACGCGUAUGCAACCUGCCUGUAACAGCGGGAUAGCUCCCUGAAAGGGGAAUUAACACCGCAUAAGACCACGCUCUCGCAUGGGGACGGGGUAAAAUAUUUAUAGGUUACAGAUGGGCAUGCGUGACAUUAGUUAGUUGGUGAGGUAACGGCUCACCAAGACUGCGAUGUCUAGGGGUUCUGAGAGGAAGGUCCCCCACACUGGAACUGAGACACGGUCCAGACUCCUACGGGAGGCAGCAGUGAGGAAUAUUGGUCAAUGGACGCAAGUCUGAACCAGCCAUGUCGCGUGCAGGAUGACUGCCCUAUGGGUUGUAAACUGCUUUUAUAUUGGAAGAAUUGCGCUUACGAGUUAAGCGUUUGACGGUACAUUAUGAAUAAGGAUCGGCUAACUCCGUGCCAGCAGCCGCGGUAAUACGGAGGAUCCGAGCGUUAUCCGGAUUUAUUGGGUUUAAAGGGUGCGUAGGCGGAAAUGUAAGUCAGUGGUGAAAUCCUGCAGCUUAACUGUAGAAUAGCCGUUGAAACUGUGUUUCUUGAGUACAUUUGAGGUAGGCGGAAUGUGGUGUGUAGCGGUGAAAUGCAUAGAUAUACCACAGAACACCGAUUGCGAAGGCAGCUUACUAAACUGUCACUGACGCUGAUGCACGAAAGCGUGGGUAUCAAACAGGAUUAGAUACCCUGGUAGUCCACGCUGUAAACGAUGAUAACUCGCUGUCGGCGAUACACAGUCGGUGGCCAAGCGAAAGCAUUAAGUUAUCCACCUGGGGAGUACGACCGCAAGGUUGAAACUCAAAGGAAUUGACGGGGGCCCGCACAAGCGGAGGAACAUGUGGUUUAAUUCGAUGAUACGCGAGGAACCUUACCCGGGCUCGAACGGUGCAUAAAUAUACGAGAGAUUGUAUAGUCCUUCGGGACAUGUAUCGAGGUGCUGCAUGGUUGUCGUCAGCUCGUGCCGUGAGGUGUCGGCUUAAGUGCCAUAACGAGCGCAACCCUUGUCAUUAGUUGCCAUCAGGUCAAGCUGGGGACUUUAAUGAGACUGCCACCGUAAGGUGUGAGGAAGGGGGGGAUGACGUCAAAUCAGCACGGCCCUUAUGUCCGGGGCGACACACGUGUUACAAUGGGAGGUACAGAGGGCAGCUAUCCGGUGACGGAAUGCUAAUCUCCAAAACCUUUCUCAGUUCGGAUUGGAGUCUGCAACUCGACUCCAUGAAGGUGGAUUCGCUAGUAAUCGCGCAUCAGCCAUGGCGCGGUGAAUACGUUCCCGGGCCUUGCACUCACCGCCCG